rnacentral:rRNA from 1 species
AGUGAACGCUGGCGGCAGGCCUAACACAUGCAAGUCGAACGGCAGCACGGCAGUAGCAAUACUGUGGGUGGCGAGUGGCGGACGGGUGAGGAAUACAUCGGGAUCUACCCUGUUGUGGGGGAUAACGUAGGGAAACUUACGCUAAUACCGCAUACGUCCUACGGGAGAAAGUGGGGGACCGCAAGGCCUCACGUUAUAGGAGCGGCCGAUGCCGGAUUAGCUAGUUGGUGGGGUAAAGGCUCACCAAGGCAACGAUCCGUAGCUGGUCUGAGAGGAUGAUCAGCCACACUGGGACUGAGACACGGCCCAGACUCCUACGGGAGGCAGCAGUGGGAAAUUUUGGACAAUGGGCGCAAGCCUGAUCCAGCCAUGCCGCGUGAGUGAAGAAGGCCUCGG